UAGGGAAUCUUCCGCAAUGGGCGAAAGCCUGACGGAGCAACGCCGCGUGAGUGAUGAAGGUCUUCGGAUCGUAAAACUCUGUUAUUAGGGAAGAACAUAUGUGUAAGUAACUGUGCACAUCUUGACGGUACCUAAUCAGAAAGCCACGGCUAACUACGUGCCAGCAGCCGCGAUAAUACGUAGGUGGCAAGCGUUAUCCGGAAUUAUUGGGCGUAAAGCGCGCGUAGGCGGUUUUUUAAGUCUGAUGUGAAAGCCCACGGCUCAACCGUGGAGGGUCAUUGGAAACUGGAAAACUUGAGUGCAGAAGAGGAAAGUGGAAUUCCAUGUGUAGCGGUGAAAUGCGCAGAGAUAUGGAGGAACGCCAGUGGCGAAGGCGACUUUCUGGUCUGUAACUGACGCUGAUGUGCGAAAGCGUGGGGAUCAAACAGGAUUAGAUACCCUGGUAGUCCACGCCGUAAACGAUGAGUGCUAAGUGUUAGGGGGUUUCCGCCCCUUAGUGCUGCAGCUAACGCAUUAAGCACUCCGCCUGGGGAGUACGACCGCAAGGUUG
rnacentral:rRNA from 1 species